AAGAGAAAUUAAAAAAUAGCUGCUAACUGUUUUGUAACUAAUUAAAUGUUAUUCUCUUA
rnacentral:tRNA from 1 species